rnacentral:rRNA from 1 species
UACAGAGGGUGCAAGCGUUGUUCGGAAUUACUGGGCGUAAAGCGUGCGUAGUCGGUAUUGAGAGUCGCGGGUGAAAUCCUAGGGCUUAACCCUGGAACUGCCUGCGAGACCUCAGUACUAGAGUGUGAGAGGGGAUAGUGGAAUACCCAGUGUAGCGGUGAAAUGCGUAGAGAUUGGGUGGAACACCGGUGGCGAAGGCGGCUAUCUGGCUCACAACUGACGAUCAGGCACGAAAGCGUGGGGAGCAAACAGG